UCACACCACUUAAGCCAAGUUGUCAUCCCCAGCAUGAUAUGAGAGACGCGGUAUUGAAAUAUGCAAUUGCUCUUCUAAAUAAAUAAUGAAUUGGAUCUGCAAGCACACAGAUUAAUACCGAUGCAGCAUUUUAACCGGGAAGUAUUCCAGGUAUCGUUAUUUAUAUUUUUACCACUGGGAAGGGAUUAGCAAUCAUCAAUAUUGAUUACAGAAUAGAAUAUGAGAUUG
rnacentral:lncRNA from 1 species